CACCAAUCAAGCCUGGCUUGGUAUUGGGCGUCGGGAGACCCCGCGCCCCUAAUUCAUCGGCUGGACGGUUCGAAUCUCAGCGUUGUGGUCAUUCAAUUCGCUGGCGAGGACGACCGGACGCGCCGUUAAACCUCUUAUCACA
rnacentral:misc_RNA from 1 species